UUUUUUUAUUUUCUCUUGCCAAAUAUUCGAUCAAGUGUUUUUAAGAUAUUUUUAUCGCAUAAAAAAUGGUUUUUUUCUCACUGCGAAAAAAAGCAACAACCGUAAAUAGCAAAACAUUUGUGGUGGGGGUCAAAUCAUCGAUACAGUUGUCUUUGGCUGUUGUACAGAGAAAAAAUGUAUAGAUGUGCAUGAGUGUGCUUACACUACCUGCUUUGGCCAACAACAAUGAUGCUGCUUUAUAAAUUAUGACGAGCGUCGUUUAUGUUGGCUGUACUUCUUUUUCCUUUGAUUUUCUUCACUCUCCCGCAAUUUAUCAUUUUAUUUCGAGCGCAUCGACGCCAUUUUAUUUCUUGGUUUUCACUUCUCAUGAAUAAAUUAAUAAUUUCAGCAUUUUCCAUUUCAAUUGUUCAAUUUUUUUUGCGUGUUCAUCGCAUUUUUGCAUCAUUUUCGAAAAAAUUUUGUGGAAAAAAACAAAUAUUCAUCGAAUUUCCAAAUCAUAAUAAUUUCACCAUUUUUUCAUUGAAUUUAUAAAUCGUUAGAUACGCUCUCAUACGCUUUGUGCAUGUGCAGUGAACUUUCCUUUGCACAGAGGUAUAUAGAUAUAGUGCAUCAUAUAGAGGGAGAUUUAGCGAUGCUAUCGACACUGUUGUAGUCGUCGACAUUUUCGUCGUACAACAGGGUCAUUGUAAAACGAUACUUCCUCGCGUUUGUUUACAAAUAGCAUAGUGGCGUGCAAGCAAACAGCUUGUUUAUCCGAUCCUGCAUCGUAUUUCUACGCUUCGUCUACAAACACUUGACUAUGAAACUCAGCUGUUUUCAUACGAAUUUUGAAUGAACUUUUUUUUCUGUA